GGCAGUUGGGACACACACUUGCCUCUGAUUGAGUUUGCUUAUAAACAAUCAAGCAUUGGGAUGCCUCUAUAUGAAGCUUUGUAUGGUAGAAAGUGCAGAACUCUCCUGUGUUGGGAUGAAGUGGGUGAAAGAAAGAUGAUUGGGCCCGAAAUUGUUCAAUAGACUGAGGAAAAAAUCAGAUUAAUCAGAGAUCGACUCAAAGCUGUAUCAGACCAUCAGAAGUCCUAUAUUGAUCUGAAGAGAAGGGAUAUUGAGUAUAUAGUGGGUGAGAAAGUAUUCCUCAA
rnacentral:misc_RNA from 1 species